CUCCCCGGCGGCGCGGCCGGCGCGUCCUGGCGCGGGGACUGCGGCGGGGCCCCUCGACAGCCCGGGCUCCUGUGGGGGCCCCCGGGAGCCUUCCGCCAUUGCCCGGGCUUUGAAAGCGCUGUCGAAACGAUAAGGAAACCGAGGCUUAGGAAAUUAACCUGACAAAUACAAGACUGGCUUAGAAGUCUCUUCCCUGAGCUUCCAUAACAACCUGAGCAGGUCUCCAUCAGAGCCCUUGCCACAUGACAAUGUCUGUUUUACCUGGGGCACUUCCCCACCAUUGACCUGUGAGUGGAUCACGGUAUCUUUCAACUGAGCUUCACAGGGCUUCACACAAUGUUUGGCACAUGUUAGAUGAGAGCCCUGGGUGAAAAUCACAGCUUGACAGCCUGAGCAUCUUUAAAAAGUUAGGCAAAAUGGAUUCAGUUGCCAAUGGAAGGAAGAUGGACAUGUCUUGGACUAAAGACUAGAUAAUGGUAAGGUUGCUGCUAUUUGUCAUCCAAAUUGUGAAGCUUGACCUUGUGUUCAGGGAAAUCACCAGCUUCAAUCCAGAGAUGGUCAGCAGGGAUAAUGACAAGCAGAAUUAAGGUGGUCCUCAAAAAGCACUUUGGAAAGGGUAAUAAAAUUUGUUUUGGCGUCUUUCUACCUCUCUCAUCAGCCUCAGCCUUCCCUGCUCUCCCUGGCCUGUAUUGAAUUUGUAACCAAUCUCUGCUAAAACAUUAACUGUUUAUAACGUGUCUUCUGUUAAAAGAUUGC